rnacentral:misc_RNA from 1 species
AACGCACCUUGCGCCCUCUGGUAUUCCGGAGGGCAUGCCUGUUUGAGUGUCAUGUUGACUCAACCCCCUCGGGUUUCCGAGCGGGUUGGAUUUGGACGUUGCCGUCUCAGGCUCGUCUUAAAUGAGUUAGCAGAGGUACCGACCUUGCCUGGCGUAAUAAGUUUCGCUGGCGCUCUGCCGUGUGCCCCGCUCACAACCGCCCUCGGGCACCUUUUGACUCUGACCUCAAAUCAGGUAGGACUACCCGCUGAACUUAA